rnacentral:tRNA from 1 species
ACCUGGCUGGCUCAGUCAGUGGAGCAUGUGACUCUUGAUCUCAAAGAUGUGAGUUCGAGGCUCACUUGGGUG